rnacentral:rRNA from 1 species
UACGUAGGGGGCAAGCGUUGUCCGGAUUUAUUGGGCGUAAAGAGCGUGUAGGCGGCUAGAUAGGUCCGUUGUGAAACUCGAGGCUCAACCUCGAGACGUCGUAGUGAAACCGCGAGCUAGAGUCCGGAAGAGGAGAGUGGAAUUCCCGGUGUAGCGGUGAAAUGACGCAGAUAUCGGGAAGAACACCCGUGGCGAAGGCGGCUCUCUGGGACGGUACUGACGCUGAGACGGCGAAAGCGUGGGGAGCGAACAGG